rnacentral:rRNA from 1 species
AACGGUAACAGGUCUUCGGAUGCUGACGAGUGGCGCACGGGUGCGUAACGCGUAUGCAACUUGCCCUCAACAGGAGAAUAGCCCGGAGAAAUUCGGGUUAAUGCUCCAUAGUAUAUACGGAUUGCAUGGUUUGUAUAUUAAAGCUACGGCGGUUGAGGAUGGGCAUGCGUCCUAUUAGCUAGUUGGAGAGGUAACGGCUCACCAAGGCGACGAUAGGUAGGGGGCCUGAGAGGGUAAUCCCCCACACUGGUACUGAGACACGGACCAGACUCC